UACGAAGGGGGCUAGCGUUGUUCGGAAUCACUGGGCGUAAAGCGCACGUAGGCGGAUCUUUAAGUCAGGGGUGAAAUCCCGAGGCUCAACCUCGGAACUGCCUUUGAUACUGGGGAUCUCGAGUCCGGGAGAGGUGAGUGGAACUGCGAGUGUAGAGGUGAAAUUCGUAGAUAUUCGCAAGAACACCAGUGGCGAAGGCGGCGCACUGGCACGGAACUGACGCUGAGGUGCGAAAGCGUGGGGAGCAAACAGG
rnacentral:rRNA from 1 species